UACAGAGGUCCCAAGCGUUGUUCGGAUUCACUGGGCGUAAAGGGUGCGUAGGUGGCCAGGUAAGUUCGGUGUGAAAGCUCGGAGCUUAACUCCGAAAUGGCAUUGAAUACUAUCUGGCUAGAGGGUCGGAGGGGAGACUGGAAUUCUCGGUGUAGCAGUGAAAUGCGUAGAUAUCAAGUGGAACACCAGUGGCGAAGGCGAGUCUCUGGACAUUUCCUGACGCUGAGGCACGAAAGCCAGGGGAGCAAACGGG
rnacentral:rRNA from 1 species